rnacentral:lncRNA from 1 species
CUGUAACCCUUAUACUUGAGUCAUGUUAGUAAUUUUUUUUUCUUUCAUUUUCUUUUUAAUUUUGCCACCAAAACUUGCAAGAAUUAAACUCUAAACCUGGCAAAUUUUAUUAGAUGCCAACACUCAAGAUGUAAUAUUUUUAGUGUUAUGUACUGGCAUUAAUACAUUCAAUGUUACUACAUCCAAUGUUUGGAAACAUUGACCAUGUAACCACUAGCCUGUUGCAGCAGCUGCCAUGGGGCACUGGUAUCUUGAUCCCCGUGUUGGGUGUGCCAUCCCAUUUUGUGCAGAAAUAUUCUUUAAGCGUAUUAUUACAGGACCAACAAUAACAGCGUAAAAUGUCCCCCAAAAAAGAAUGCAUUGGGAUCUUGCCCUUUCUAAAGAGUUGUAUCAGUUUGCUGUAGCUAAAGGUAACAUAUAGAGCGCAAACACAUGAAAUAUUGAUUUUGAUUCUUUUGUAUCUUGGUUAAUAUUUCAUGCUCUGUAAUAUAUGCUUACACGUUAUACAAUUCCCAAUGUGGAGAGUAUUUUAUUGGUUUACACCCUUUCAAAUUUUACAUUUUUUUUUAUGCUUUAUGGGCCAGGGUACCAUGUUCGGUAAAUAUUUUUUUGUUUGUAAACAUUUCCAUCUGUCAGAAAAAAUUAAUUCCUGAAAAUGUUAUUUAAAUAGUUUAGAAAUUCAGUCACCUUAAUGAAGGGUGAACUAAACAUCGAAAAUUAAUUCCUUAAAUGAAGACAGAACUUUAGGUUCUGUCCUAUUUACUUACCCUAUCAAUCAUAUAGUGUAUUCAUGUGUAUAUUGAGUACUCAUCUCCUGGAAGGAGAAAUUGCAAGCUUUGAACAGUACAUUGGCUUGCUUCUUGCAUAGUCUUAAAUGGCCAAUAUAAAAGGUCUCCCCAUUCUUCUCCAAAACCUACUUCAACAUCAAGGUAAAAAGUGAGAAAUAAAAACGUACCUCAUCCUUUCACCUUAAUAGUUGUGGACCUUGUGUAGAUGAAUUAGCUAAAGAUUUAAUUAUACUUAUAGCAAAUCUCAUCUUGUAUCCAUUUGUCCAUACAGACAUGCAUACUUUAAUUACAAACACACACACACACACACACACACACACACACACAUAUGUGCCUUAUUAAGGUGAAAGGAUGAGGUAGUUUUUAUAUAUAUAUAUGCCUAUCCCCAUGAGUAUCUAUAUAUAUAUAUAUUAAUCUCUUCGUUUAUUUUAAAUCCACCUGGACAGCUGACAACUGACUAUACAACCAACUUUUCGAUUAUUAUUAUUAUUAUUUUCUUUUUACUUGACAUGGCCAAUUAAUUUGUAAACUCAAUUCUGUGUGACCUUUAAAUGAUAUACCCCAUCAUCUUCAUGGUUUAAUCACACUCGAGGGGUUUCAUAUCAGGCCAUUUCUAGCUUGAACAGUAACUCGAUGUUGGCCUUUCGAGUAAUCAAACAGUCUCAUUUCAAUGAACGUUAAAAAUUGAACAUUACUUUUUAAAUGAAUCUUUUUGAAACAAAAAGAGUAAGAUCCCUGCUUCAAGUGUUAUUACGUAUUUUGUAUAUUAGUAUUCUGAUAACGGACAUGCCAGUUCUAUUUUUUUCCUAAAUUGUUGCUUGAAAGUUUAUUUAAAACAUAGGAAUAAAACUAUAAGUGUUAAAACUCUAUUUACUAAAUAUAUCUGUAGCAUUUUUCUAAUUAACAAAUAGAUGCAGCUUGCUUUAAUUUUGUUAAGGUCUUGUUUCUUUUUCUGUUAAUGAUAACUAAUUGUUGCCUUGAAACAAUUAUUGAUAUGUUUAUCUAGUAAAAAAGAUAAAGCUUACCUUCCGUCUUUUAUUUUUAAGAAAUCCC